rnacentral:rRNA from 1 species
UGGGGAAUAUUGCACAAUGGAGGGAACUCUGAUGCAGCGACGCCGCGUGAACGAAGAAGGCUUUCGAGUCGUAAAGUUCUUUUACAUGGGAAGAUAAUGACGGUACCAUAAGAAAAAGCCCCGGCUAACUACGUGCCAGCAGCCGCGGUAAUACGUAGGGGGCUAGCGUUGUCCGGAAUCACUGGGCGUAAAGGGUUCGCAGGCGGAAAUGCAAGUCAGGUGUAAAAGGCAGUAGCUUAACUACUGUAAGCAUUUGAAACUGCAUAUCUUGAGAAGAGUAGAGGUAAGUGGAAUUUUUAGUGUAGCGGUGAAAUGCGUAGAUAUUAAAAAGAAUACCGGUGGCGAAGGCGGCUUACUGGGCUCAUUCUGACGCUGAGGAACGAAAGCGUGGGUAGCAAACAGG